rnacentral:misc_RNA from 1 species
UCUCCGUUGGUGAACCAGCGGAGGGAUCAUUACCGAGUUUACAACUCCCAAACCCCUGUGAACAUACCAUUUGUUGCCUCGGCGGUGCCUGCUUCGGCAGCCCGCCAGAGGACCCAAACCCUUGAUUUUAUACAGUAUCUUCUGAGUACAUGAUUAAAUAAAUCAAAACUUUCAACAACGGAUCUCUUGGUUCUG